rnacentral:lncRNA from 1 species
AAAAGAAUUUCGUCCUCGAAAUUCCUUAUCAGCGGAAUCCCUCAAAUCUAAGGUACCCAACGGAUCAAGCAAAUGACAAGCCCAAAUUGCCUACCUAGGCUCUCAUCUCUUCCGUAUCCGGGCACAAGAAUCCCAUCUAAGAUAAUUCACAACUCGAGCCGGCCGGUCCCAAGAGUAAACCAUCCUUAUUAAAGAUUCCUACCCGACAUACAUACCUAGUUUCCUCGAGUCCCAUGAUAAUGAUUCGCACACUUAUCACAUGCCCGGUUCAUAACUUACGCUCAAACGAGCACUUAAACACAUUCAUGAAAUUAGGACCACAACACCACUUGGCCCAGUCUCACUC